rnacentral:rRNA from 1 species
CGCGCAGGCGGUUGUGCAAGUCAGUUGUGAAAUCCCCCGGCUUAACCGGGGAACUGCAUCUGAAACUGCAUGACUCGAGUACAGAAGAGGGAAACGGAAUUCCCGGUGUAGAGGUGAAAUUCGUAGAUAUCGGGAGGAACACCAGUGGCGAAGGCGGUUUCCUGGUCUGAUACUGACGCUGAGGCGCGAAAGCGUGGGGAGCAAACA